AAAAUGUUAACAAACAUUUGAUUGUUGGUUCUACAGUAUUUUCCUGACUGUGCAAACACUGGGCAUUUGUGCAGAGAGCAAACCUCUACCAGUGCAUGGCAACCCAGUGCAGUCCAGUGUGUUCCUGAAUACAUCAGCUGAGCUGUAAGAAUGUACAAGAUCUUUUCAGUGCCAGUGGGAAUGACUGGGAGUAAAUGAAGACAGAAUAUCACCCACAGUCUCAGUAGGAGAUUGCUUCCCACACUGACACGUGUGCUUGGAUAUUCAGAAGAAAUUAUAUGCACCGAAAAUACAACACAUUGUGUCACAGAACCUGGUAAUUUUGAAGAAAAAAAAUCAUUAAGAGCCAAGUUAUAUGCUACACCAAUUCAGUACAAUUGCUGAAAUGUUCAGUUAGCUGCUGGGAAACAGUAACACUGGAAACAGAAGAGUCACAAUUUUUGAAGCGCCAGCUCCAUUGCAGAACAGUCGUGAUCUCUGUCGUGAUCUGCUCCAUAAUUUUGUUGUGUGGGUGAGUGUGAUUUUUUUCCCCUAGUGUUCCCUGACUCACAGAGUACUUGGUAAAGUGUGUGGAGAAAGAACAGAAAAGAAGUGAGAGCACAGACCAGCCGUU
rnacentral:lncRNA from 1 species